rnacentral:ncRNA from 1 species
AUUAUUGCGGGAGAGACUACACUUAGCGCCGAAGGAGCAACCGCCCUCGGAAACUCUCAGGCAAAAGGACCGCAAU